ACUCAAAUGAAUUGACGGGAGCCCGCACAAGCGGUGGAUUAUGUGGUUUAAUUCGAAGCAACGCGCAGAACCUUACCUAGGUUUGACAUCCUUUGACAACUAGAGAGAUCUAGCUUUUGUAGCAAUACAACAAAGUGACAGGUGCUGCAUGGCUGUCGUCAGCUCGUGUGGUGGCAUGUCGGGUUAAGUCCCUCAACGAGCGCAACCCCUAUCUUUAGUUGCCAGCAUUAAGUUGGGCACUCUAGAGAGACUGCCGUGGUUAACACGGAGGAAGGCGGGGAUGACGUCAAGUCCUCAUGGCCCUUACAUCUAGGGCGACACACGUAAUACAAUGGUCGAUACAGAGGGAUGCGAAAUGGUGACAUGGAGCAAAUCUCAAAAAGUCGAUCUCAGUUCGGAUUAGAGUCUGCAACUCGACUCUAUGAAGGUGGAAUCGCUAGUAAUCGCGGAUCAGCACGCCGCGGUGAAUACGUUCCCGGGCUUUGUACACACCGCCCGU
rnacentral:rRNA from 1 species